UACGAAGGGGGCUAGCGUUGCUCGGAAUCACUGGGCGUAAAGCGCACGUAGGCGGCUUCUUAAGUCAGGGGUGAAAUCCUGGAGCUCAACUCCAGAACUGCCUUUGAUACUGAGAAGCUUGAGUUCGGGAGAGGUGAGUGGAACUGCGAGUGUAGAGGUGAAAUUCGUAGAUAUUCGCAAGAACACCGGUGGCGAAAGCGGCUCUCUGGCCCGGUUCUGACGCUGAGGCGCGAAAGCGUGGGGAGCAAACAGG
rnacentral:rRNA from 1 species